rnacentral:rRNA from 1 species
UACAGAGGGUGCGAGCGUUAAUCGGAAUUACUGGGCGUAAAGCGUGCGUAGACGGUUAUUUAAGUCGGAUGUGAAAGCCCCGGGCUCAACCUGGGAAUUGCAUUCGAGACUGAAUAGCUAGGGUACGGUAGAGGGAAGCGGAAUUUCCGGUGUAACGGUGAAAUGCGUAGAUAUCGGAAGGAACAUCAGUGGCGAAAGCGGCUUCCUGGACCAGUACCGACGUUCAGGCACGAAAGCGUGGGGAGCAAACAGG